ACUCUCCUGUCUCACUUUUUUAAAAAUUUACAUCUACCUUCUAUUGUCUGUUGACUCACAUUGAACCUAAAGGCAAGUGAAGCCUUGUUACCUCCAUUCUUUAUGCAGUUUAAAACUUUUUAUCAUUUUGGAGUGGGGGUAGUGGGGUGAAAUGGGGUGGUUAUUAACUCUGCCUGACUUUACAUUUGUCAUUUCUCCUUCUUAGAUUUAACU
rnacentral:lncRNA from 1 species